CGGACGGGUGAGUAACGCGUGGAAAACCUGCCGUAUACUGGGGGAUAACACUUAGAAAUAGGUGCUAAUACCGCAUAAGCGCGCAGCUUCGCAUGAAGCGGUGUGAAAAACUCUGGUGGUAUACGAUGGUUCCGCGUCUGAUUAGCUGGUUGGUGAGGUAACGGCCCACCAAGGCGACGAUCAGUAGCCGACCUGAGAGGGUGGCCGGCCACAUUGGGACUGAGACACGGCCCAAACUCCUACGGGAGGCAGCAG
rnacentral:rRNA from 1 species